UAGAUACCCUGGUAGUCCGCACGGUAAACGAUGGAUGCCCGUUCUUCGUUCUUUUGAAUGAGGGACCAAGCGAAAGCAUUAAGCAUCCCACCUGGGGAGUACGCCGGCAACGGUGAAACUCAAAGGAAUUGACGGGGGCCCGCACAAGCGGAGGAACAUGUGGUUUAAUUCGAUGAUACGCGAGGAACCUUACCCGGGCUUGAAUUGCAGGAGAACGAUCUAGAGAUAGUGAGGUCCUUCGGGACUCCUG
rnacentral:rRNA from 1 species